rnacentral:rRNA from 1 species
UUAGAGUUUGAUUCUGGCUCAAGAUGAACGCUAGCUACAGGCUUAACACAUGCAAGUCGCGGGGCAGCAUGUUACUGGCUUGCCAGUAAUGAUGGCGGCCGGCGCACGGGUGAGUAUCGCGUAUCCAACCUUCCCAUAUCCACGGGAUAGCCUGCCGAAAGGCAGAUUAAUACCGUAUGUUGUCGCACGCUGGCAUCAAAAUGCGACGAAAGGCUUAGCGGAUAUGGAUGGGGAUGCGUCCGAUUAGCUUGACGGCGGGGUAACGGCCCACCGUGGCGACGAUCGGUAGGGGUUCUGAGAGGAAGGUCCCCCACAAUGGGACUGAGACACGGCCCAUACUCCUACGGGAGGCAGCAGUGAGGAAUAUUGGUCAAUGGGCGGAAGCCUGAACCAGCCAUGCCGCGUGCGGGAAGGAGGCCCUAUGGGCUGUGAACCGCUUUUGCCUGGGGGCAAUAAGGGCGUCGCGCACAUCCGAUGAGAGUACCAGGCGAAUAAGCAUCGGCUAACUCCGUGCCAGCAGCCGCGGUAAUACGGGGGAUGCGAGCGUUAUCCGGAUUCAUUGGGUUUAAAGGGUGCGUAGGCUGUGCGUCAAGUCGGGGGUGAAAUUCCGGUGCUCAACACCGGGGCUGCCCUUGAUACUGUCGCGCUGGAGUGCGGAUGCCGCCGGAGGAAUGAGUGGUGUAGCGGUGAAAUGCUUAGAUAUCACUCAGAACACCGAUUGCGAAGGCAUCUGGCGAAUCCGUAACUGACGCUGAGGCACGAAAGCGUGGGGAUAGAACAGGAUUAGAUACCCUGGUAUUCCACGCCGUAAACGAUGAUGGCUAACCGCCGGCGACAGACUGUCGGUGGCCAAGCGAAAGCGAUAAGCCAUCCACCUGGGGAGUACGUCGGCAACGAUGAAACUCAAAGGAAUUGACGGGGGCCCGCACAAGCGGAGGAACAUGUGGUUUAAUUCGAUGAUACGCGAGGAACCUUACCCGGGCUCAAACGACAGCGGACAGCUCCUGAAAGGGAGUCUCUGGCAACGGCCGCUGUCGAGGUGCUGCAUGGUUGUCGUCAGCUCGUGCCGUGAGGUGUCGGCUUAAGUGCCAUAACGAGCGCAACCCCCAUCUCCAGUUGCCACCGGGUCGUGCCGGGCACUCUGGAGGGACUGCCAGCGCAAGCUGCGAGGAAGGCGGGGAUGACGUCAAAUCAGCACGGCCCUUACGUCCGGGGCGACACACGUGUUACAAUGGCGGAGAACAGAGGGGAGCCACGUGGCGACACGGAGCCGAUCCCGAAAAUCCGUCUCAGUUCGGAUUGGAGUCUGCAACCCGACUCCAUGAAGCUGGAUUCGCUAGUAAUCGCGCAUCAGCCAUGGCGCGGUGAAUACGUUCCCGGGCCUUGCACUCACCGCCCGUCAA